GAUGAACGCUGGCGGCGUGCCUAAUACAUGCAAGUCGAGCGAACAGACGAGGAGCUUGCUCCUCUGACGUUAGCGGCGGACGGGUGAGUAACACGUGGAUAACCUACCUAUAAGACUGGGAUAACUUCGGGAAACCGGAGCUAAUACCGUAUAAUAUCUUGAACCGCAUUGUUCAUUAGUGAAAUACGGUUUUUCUGUCACUUAUAGAUGGAUCCGCGCCGCAUUAGCUAGUUGGUAAGGUAACGGCUUACCAAGGCAACGAUGCGUAGCCGACCUGGGAGGGGGGUAGGCCACACGGGAACUGAGACACGGUCCAGACGCCUAAGGGAGGCAGCAGUAGGGAAUCUUCCGCAAUGGGCGAAAGCCUGACGGAGCAACGCCGCGUGAGUGAUGAAGGUCUUCGGAUCGUAAAACUCUGUUAUUAGGGAAGAACAAAUGUGUAAGUAACUAUGCACGUCUUGACGGUACCUAAUCAGAAAGCCACGGCUAACUACGUG
rnacentral:rRNA from 1 species